CAAGGAUAACCGUUCAAUCAAUGUCGUUUUGAUCCAACGGUCCAGAUUCACUUGAAGGGACUAUAUAAGCAGACCCCCUGGCCCCUGGAGGAGAACAAGUUCAUCAUAGAGUUGAGAGGAGCCCUCGAAGGAUAACCUCUCCUCUAAAUAGACUUAGGGUUUAGCAUCUAAUGUGAAGUAGACUAAUUCUACUAGAUUGAGAGAGAUAGAGUGGAGGUGUAGAUCGGAGGAAGCCCGGCC
rnacentral:lncRNA from 1 species